rnacentral:rRNA from 1 species
GACGAACGCUGGCGGCGUGCUUAACACAUGCAAGUCGAAGAUAGUGGCGAACGGGUGAGUAAUACGUGGUUAACCUGCCCUCCUUUUUGGGAUAAGCCUUGGAAACGGGGUCUAAUACCGAAUAAAGGGGGAGGGGCUCGCGGCCAAUCAGCUUGUUGGUGGGGUGAUGGCCUACCAAGGCGGUGACGGGUAGCCGGACUGAGAGGGUGACCUGGCACAGUGGGACUGAGCUACGGCCCAGACUCGUACGUGGGGCAGCAGUGGGGGCUAUUGGACAAUGGGUGAAAGCCUGAUGCAGCGACGCUGCGUGGGGGAUGAAGGCUUUCGGGUUGUAAACCUCUUUCGGUAUCGAACCGGUAGGUGGAGAAGAAGCGCCGGCUAACUACGUGCCAGCAGCCGCGGUAAUUC